ACAACACGCUAGGGGUGCCGGUUUUCGGCUGAGAGAUGUUUAUCGACCCUUUGAACCUGAUCUAGUUAGUACUAGCGAAGGGAAGCUGCUUAAUCUAAAG
rnacentral:ncRNA from 2 species